GAUGAACGCUGGCGGCGUGCCUAAUACAUGCAAGUCGAGCGAACAGACGAGGAGCUUGCUCCUCUGACGUUAGCGGCGGACGGGUGAGUAACACGUGGAUAACCUACCUAUAAGACUGGGAUAACUUCGGGAAACCGGAGCUAAUACCGGAUAACAUGUUGAACCGCAUGGUUCAACAGUGAAAGACGGUUUUGCUGUCACUUAUAGAUGGAUCCGCGUCGCAUUAGCUAGUUGGUAAGGUAACGGCUUACCAAGGCAACGAUGCGUAGCCGACCUGAGAGGGUGAUCGGCCACACUGGAACUGAGACACGGUCCAGACUCCUACGGGAGGCAGCAGUAGGGAAUCUUCCGCAAUGGGCGAAAGCCUGACGGAGCAACGCCGCGUAAGUGAAGAAGGUCUUCGGAUCGUAAAACUCUGUUAUUAGGGAAGAACAAAUGUGUAAGUAACUAUGCACGUCUUGACGGUACCUAAUCAGAAAGCCACGGCUAACUACGUG
rnacentral:rRNA from 1 species